UACGAAGGGGGCUAGCGUUGCUCGGAAUUACUGGGCGUAAAGCGCACGUAGGCGGUCUUUUAAGUCGGGGGUGAAAUCCUGGAGCUCAACUCCAGAACUGCCUUCGAUACUGGAAGACUUGAGUCCGGGAGAGGUGAGUGGAACUGCGAGUGUAGAGGUGAAAUUCGUAGAUAUUCGCAAGAACACCAGUGGCGAAGGCGGCUCACUGGCCCGGUACUGACGCUGAGGUGCGAAAAGCGUGGGGAGCAAACAGG
rnacentral:rRNA from 1 species